CGAUGUCAUCGUUAGAGGUGAGAAUUGAAGAGCCUUGAUUGAAUCGCCGUCGACGGUCAUGGCCGCCCUUUUUUGCUCGAGUCUCAUCCUACUGAAGGACGGUAACUCCUCUUUAAUUUUUUAUAUUUAUUUUGUUGUUUUUGUUGAUUUUGCUGCUGAAACCCUAAACAUUGGCAUGCCAAGAGCCAGUUAGAGAGCAUAUGAUUCUAUUUUUAUGGAAACUUUACUUGAAAUCUGUUAUGAUUAAUUGAUCUUCUAUCACCAACGAUCCUAUCUCUCGCCUGGUCUGCCCUGAGAUUGAUUUUGGUUCAAUUGAUUGGAAAUAUUGGAAAUUGAAUGGGAAUUCUGGAAAUUGAUUGGAAAUUGUGGUUGAUUUUGCAAUUUUAACUUUAGGGUUAUACCAACUUAAGAAAAGGGAGUGAAAGUUGACAUGUUCAAAUUGCUUAAUCCUGAAAUUAAGCAAUUUAUGAUAAUAGUUACUUACUUCAGAAUCCUUUUGAAGCAGAUUAUGCUUAAAUUUCUAGCUUUUCGGCGUUGCAUUUGUUCUGGUAAUUAAAUGGAAGAAACUAAUACCUGCUAGAGAUGUUGAACUAUGCGUUAAAUGUCAGUGAUUGAAGAUUGGUUCCCCUGCUACCUCGUCUGUGUUUAAGUGAGCAUCUUGGAAUUAUAUCCACCUAUAUAUGUGUCUCUCUCCAUCAUCAUUGUAAUUCCAUUGUCGUGGUAGCAAAGAAAUAUAUUCCAUUGCUGUGUUGAUAUUCUCUCAACUAAGUAAUGGUUUUAAUAAUUAUUAAUGCAAACAAGUAUUCUGAUUUCUUGCUCAAGUAUAUCUUCUUUAUAGUUUCGUUGCAAAAUAUAUUUACACCAUGUCAAUCUGUCAUUGCAAAAUUUACAACCCGUUUUCUACUGUUUGUCUUUCUUUAUAGAUUGUCCUUUCAUGCUGUGAGUUUCUAAGAUUUGUUUUACAAUUAAUUGAGUGGGGUUGUUAUAUAUAAUGCUUCUUGCAACCGUUUAACUGCUUGCCUGCUUGUAUUCUGCAAGCAGAUUAAUCGUUUCUUAGAUAUACCUUAUGCCACUAUGAAUUAGGAAUUCUGGACUACAUAAAUUUGUCCUAAUCGAUUCCGAUCUAAAACCGAACACUCACUUAUUUAGCUCCUGAAUGCUGGGCUGAAGAACACGGUGUUGUAGGUGAAUUUUUCACUAUGGCAACAUCCUAGAGAAAAGGCCUAGUUGUCAUGAAGUGACAGGGGUUUUACUUCUGUUCUGCUCGCAGUUAGCUUGUUGCUGUUGUUGAGUGACAGAUGCAGGGUUCCAGUUUGAAGAGUUGUUAGAUGUUCAGUCAGAUGGGAAGCUGUUGUUGCAACGGCUUGAAGUUGAGUGCCUGCCUGCCUUUUCUUGCUGUUAAUCCUGGUCAACAAUACUAGAGUUGACUUGCUGUGUUUGUGCCUUGUUCUUUUUAUUGUUUGUUUGCUCAUUAAGGUGAAAGAGUGUCAUUUCAUUAUGGGCUUAUUGAUUGGUCCUUUGUACUUGGUAUGAUCUAUCUUAGUCUUUCAUGUUUGCCUCUUCAUCUAAUUUUGUGUAAUCAAUAGAUCCCAGGCAAUUAAGAAUCUAAAGGUAGAACUCGAUGGUAUCUUUGUUACUCAUUCUUCUCAUAGCUUGAUGUUUUCUUUGGUCCUUCCAGCAGCUUGUUUAAUGUUCAAGGCCACUGAUCCCACCAACUUCUGCAUCAUCUUUUGAUGAUUUGCCAUCUAAUUUUUAUCAUGUAUUUGCUCAUUAAGUCAUAUCUUUCCCUCUUAAUUUGUCAAAUUUGUUUAUCAAAUUUGUCAUCUUUUCUUUUAGUUUGGUGAGAUGAAUAAGAAAUUGAAGGAGGUGGGGGGAUAAGUGCUACUCUUGGUUGUGUUUUUUCCCCAAAUUAAUUUCAGAAUUGAAGAAUGUUUCAUCCAAAUUCCGGUCAUGAUUUCAGUAUCAUAGAUGUGGUCUAUGCAGGACAAAUAUUAACCAAAUUGGGAAAAAAAAUAAGAUCAGGAGAAAUCAAACAGAAAAGUUCGACUUUAGUUGUCCUGUGCUUCUUUUUCUCUCACUUGAUCAUUCUUUUAGUUUAUUGCAUUUAAGUUGCAGCUGAUAGUAUUAGUAUGAACUUUUACCUCUUAUGGUACUUAUAAUUCUCACUUAAUCUUUCUUUUAGUUUAUUGCACUGAAGUUGCUGACAAUCAAUUGUUUUUGAUUUGUGGGCUUCAUUAUGAAACUCAUAAACACCUGGUAGGUGAGUUUUUGUAUCCAGAGAACUGGUUGGGUAUGAAGAAUUAAAUUACUUCCUUCCUCAGAUGUUGAUCUCGAGUUAGUGCAGAAUUCCUCAUUUCAGGGAAGAAUUAAGUUGUUGCUUCUGCUAUUAGUCAACCAUAUGCUUGGAUGUAAAUUACCUUGAAAAAACGAACUUGAACAUCAGUAAUCGGGUUGCUUUCUCUUUGUUUUUGAAUUGCAUCUUUCUAUAUGGUCUCAACUUUGACGUGACUUCUAAGUUCUAACGUUUGUUUGUUUUAUGAAUCAGGAAAGGGUUUCCAUUGGGACUGAAGUAGUCUGUCAUUCAAAAGAACACACUAUAGGAAAUAUGUUUGGAGAAGCAAGCGUCACAAAUGAAACUUCCAACAAUUUGGUGCUAAGCAGUAACAGUCAAAUAGAAUCUGAUAGCCAACAAAAAUCAUUUGUCAUUCAUUCUAGAGACCGCAGAAGGUUGAUGUUUUGUUCAAAGAGAUGAUUUUGUUAAAGGAACAAACCAAUUCCAUGGAAAUAGAACUAAAUGAAAUGCAAGAGAGGCAUAAGAGCUUUUUGAGUAAUAACCGAAGGAUAAAGCUUAAUAGAAGUUUCCCACAGCGAAAAAAUAAAUAAAUUGUAUCUUGUUCUUGUGAAUAAUAUCAUAUGUGCUUACCAUACAUGGGAAGCUCGGAAUAAUAUCUCCUGGAAUCAGGCUGUCCUACAUCCGGAUCUCCAAGGUAUGUUGGAGAAUUCAAGGCAUGCAGAAUGAGAAAUGGACACUAAAGAUAGGAACUGUUUCUGCAAUAUUAGUUUUAAUAGAUGUUGACUAUUGGCAACUGAGUUUUUGACAAUAGUUGACUUUUCUGUUGUUGUAUUUUGUUGCUGGUUUCUGCUUGUUACAGUUUGCAGGUCUAAGUUUACUUAUGUCGACCUGUGCAGGCUGACAGUUUGACACUAGCUUUGCGAAUCUGAUGUUUGUUUGUUUUUUUUGUAAAAAAAUCUUCAAGGCAAGUCAAUGGUGUUAAUCAACUGGAUCCACCAACGCCAAUGUGAAAUUCACUACACCAACGCCAAAAUUCAAUCGGCCAUUUUAUCGCCAGCCACGGUAUUUUGUAAUUUUCAUUGAAUUUGUUUCACCCAACCUCUCUAAAUCCUCUUAAAAGUACCAUUACCCUUUUCUAAUAAA